UGAUUUUGUCUUUUCAAAAUGGCUGCCAUUGGGACAAGCACAUUUUAUGGAAGAAAGAAAGUAGGUGGUGCUACAGACAAGGGUACUACACCAUCCAGGACAGAUGGAUAAUGUCGAAACCAUUCUCUAUUACUGCUCACAAGCAGCAUUGAAGCGCUGAGAAACAAGGACUGAAUUGCUUUCUCACUGCAACCGAACCGCGCUAGAGUUCGACUGGAACCGUACGGGUUGUUGUGCUCCUGUGUUCUUACCGGCACCAAAGAGGAAAAUGCACCAGGGUUCGAUUCAAAUGGACUAAACACUCUAUGAACACUGAAAGCACCCUUAGAUACACCCUCACCGUAAGUUUAACCUUUUCUUACAUACCCAAAUAUUUACACCAUUCUUAAUGAAUUAUCUUUGUAAGAUACUUAUACUCGACAUAUAAUUUUUGUGAACAAUUCCUAAAGGUUUUAC